rnacentral:lncRNA from 1 species
UUUUCCUCCCGCGCGGGCCACGUGAGGAGAGUCUGGAGCCUUCAGGUUGUCCCCGGUGCGCAAGCAGCAGGACGAGGCCCAGGACUUUUCGGGUCUGUACGUUUGCUGAGAGUGGUGUUCUUGUGGCGGGGGCGGAAGGUGGACGUCUUAGGAAGCCUUGCGACCCAGUCGGGACCCCCACAGGGACUCCGCAGUGCCUGGGGAUUGCCUGGACCUCGCCCGGGAAAGGAUGCAGUUUUACAAAACCAGAGGUAGCCGUCAAGUUGGAGCAAUGAAAAGGUCCAUUGUUGUUAGAGGAAGAAUUUCCAAGCAGGAGACAUGCAGGGUGAUAGUCCAGGUUGCUGAUGCCACCACCAUAAUUCAUCACCAGAGAUGGAGAAACUCUGUACCAUGAUGCCAGCUGGGCAAGGAAGAUCACUUUGCUGAGUGCUGGCAGGACUGAUUCAAUAGUUAUGCGGGCUCUGGGCUCCCGUGGCUGCCUUUAGCAUCUGGAUGCUGUAACUUGGAAGUUUGGUGUGGAGCGGUGUGAAACCUCAGAGGAUACAUGAAUAGGUCCAUAAACCUUCUCACACUGUCACCCUGGAAAUGGAACUCCAUAUGGCUGUCGGGGAGCUGCCCAAAGGCCACCUACAAGGGAUCCUAGGAAGGCUGGCCGUGUACGUCCUGGGGCCACAUUCGCAGCGUAUGGAAAUUCUUAGACUAAAGGUCAAAUUGGAGCUGCAGCUGCGGACCUACACCACAGCCAUAGAAAUGUAAGAUCUGAGCCCUGUCUGUGACCUACCUUAUAGUUCAGGGCAGUGCCGGAUCCCCAACCCACUGAGUGAGGCCGGGGAUUGAACCCGUAUCGUCAUGGACACUAGUUGGAUUGUUGUCACAACAGGAACUCCUCAGAUAAAUUUCUUAACUCUUUCCACACCAGUUCUGUUUCAGUUAUUUUUAUUUUCUUCUUUGAAUGUCUGUUGAGUUUUUCAUUUUAUUGACUAUAAAUUUUAUUUUCUAUUUGUCUCUUUUUUCUUUUUUUGGCUUUUUAGGGCCACCUCUGUGGCAUGUGGAAGUUCCCAGGCUAGGGGUGGAAUCAGAGCUACAGCUGCCGGACUACACCACAGCCAUAGCUCAGUGGGUUAAGGAUCCGGCAUUGCUGUAAGCUGUGGUGUAGGUCAUAGAUGUGGCUCAGAUCUGGCAUUACUGUGGCUGUGGUGCAGGUCGGUGGCUCCAGCUCCCAUUCGACCCUAGCCUGGGAACCUCCAUAUGCUGUGGGUAUAGCCCAAAAAAGAGAAAGAAAAAAGAAAAAGUUUCCUUUGAUGGUCAUCUGUCUGAGACCAGGUGGCAAGAUUUUCACACUUUGUCAUUGAAUCUUUCCCUGCCAUCCAGCUUCACCUUGACAAGCAUGUCUGACCACUCCACUGCUAUGGAGAUCACUGACUGUGUGGAGUAAUGACAAGCCUACUGAAGAUGACUGGGUGCAUUAGACAGUUUACAGUGGCUCAACCUAUGUAGAUGCUGAAUUCAGUCCAUUUUCUACAUCUAGUGAUGUGUCCCAGUGAUUGAUUUUGGCAUCAAAACAGAAAUCCUUCUCUUUCUUAACUUGCUAUUCACGCAUCAUCUUCCAGUGGCAAGUGCUGACAAUGACAGAUGCCACCUUCACCACAGCUUGGUUCUUGGCUAAAGUCCCCUCCUCUUAGCUUAUGAGCCCUGCCUUGGGAGAAAGUGUUUGCAAUGUGCCUAGGCCUCAGCUGGAUCCCAGCAGUUGCUUGGCCUAAGAGCUGGGACCCUUUCCCCAUAUGCCAUUUGGCGAGCAUAAUCAGUGGUUGUGCACCCUAGGUGUCUUGAUCAGAUGCUUCAUUUUGGCCAGGGUUUUUACUCUCCUGCUUCCUAGGCAAGUCGCUAUAUCCAUAAACUUGACUUAACAAGUCCAUUUUUCUUUUUUCUUACCUGAUCCAAAACACCUCCCAGUAGAUUUUUCAUAUAUAUUAAAAAAUCAGUAAGUAAACUGCUGCCUGUAGAAUUUUGCCUCUAAAGCAACAGGAUCCUUCCAAAAAUCUAAUGUAAACACAAACUGUUGCAUUCUUAAUGAAAAGCCAUUCUUCUGGGUGCUGUGGGUGCUUCGGUGCACCAGUCCCUGCUAGAUGCUGCCUGAGGUCCCCAUUGCUUCUGCACACGUGGACACACCCUGCAGCUCUGAUGGCCCUGGAGGGGGCGUAGCUUCCUGAAUUGUAUUCUCAUUGCACUGGUGUUUGCAGGUGAAUGGGGAAAAUGUUCACUCACCUCCACGUUAUCUCCCUUCUGCCUGCAAGCUGAAACUCAGGGUUGAUGAGGCCCCUCUGAAUUUCAGAGUUUGAUGAAACAGAUUUUCUAGAAGUUUAUUCAUGGCUCUUCUUCUCCCUGGACAGGCCACAUGUGUGCUUUGGCUGACAGUGCCCAGCCCCCAGGGCUGUUUUAGAUUCUGGUUUGAUUCCUUAGAAAAGACCAGGAAUCUGGUUCAUAUCAUGUUUUCAGAUAUUUCAAUCAUCUUGCUCAGUAAAAAGUUCUCUAACAUGUGAAUUAAAUGCAUGUUCUACGGUUCUAUAAUUUAUAUUCAUGACAAAGCUUAUGUAAGUAUAGGAAUUUUUAAAGAAGGAGAUGAAAAAGAAUCCAAAUGGAAGUUCUGAUAUUUUCUUCCUGUAUCUGGGUGUACUGUCUUCCACUCCAAUUGGUGGGCCUGAGAGGUCUCACUCUGAGAGAACCUCGGUGCCUCUCAGGUGAAGGUGAGGGGGGGGCGGGGGGAGUGGGGACAAAGCAGGGAUGAUAUCUACAGGGAUGGUUGAAGGUAUUUUUGCCUUCAACCCUCAAAAUCUGCCUGGAUGACCUUGGACUUGUAGGUGAAUUCCAGAUUCAGGGAAAGGUGUGUUUUUCAUGAUGAAGUUCUACCCAGAACGAAAUGAAUCAUGCUGUAUUGUGCUGUUUUUCAUAAAAGUUAGUACAUUGAAUUUCCUUCUCUUGUUAUUCUUUUCCUUUUAAACAUGCCAUGAAUAAAAAUAACAAACUGCUGA